UCUAUAGGUUAUUUUUCGAAGAUUGGAGGGUCAUGGCAGCAAUUUUGCUAUACUUGCAGGAUUAGGGUUUUAGAUCUAGGUGUCUUUGCCGAACGCUAUUUAAACGCCUUGCAGGAUGCCCAAAACUCGUUCCGCAUCGCUCUUCUCACUCCAAAAUCUCCUCUAUGGGUUAUUUUGCAGGUAUUAUGCCUAAUUUUGUUGCGGCUGAUCCGCGGAUCUUAGUCUUAAUCGUGUAUGCACUCGCAAUAUAUCUUCGUCGGAUGUAAAUGGUCGAUCUGUUGGUGACGAAUGAUGAGAUCCAGCCGGAGGAAAUAGGAAGAAAUCAGGUAUUCUAUGGAGGCACAUGCUUGGCCUUUGAUUUAAUCUUGCUUUUUUUUCGGCCGCGGGCAGUGUCAAAAAUUGUACCCAACCUGAAAUAUUUCUUCAAUCUGUGAAACACAUGAAUUCCAAGACCCGCACUCUGAUUAACAUAGAAGCUGCUUAGAAUGUGAAACAGGACCCAGGCCGAGUAUUGACGAGGGCUACCAAUUCUAAAUCACAGGAUGCUCCCUUGCCAACGUUUAAUUUCAUUCGGAUGUACAUAUGCAAAUUGGACAAAGUUAUGUUAUGUACAUAUGCAAAUUGGACAAAGUUAUGUUAUGUACAUAUGCUCCCUUGCCGGAUGUUAGCCUACAAGCCUUCAUUCCAUACACGUUUUUGUCGACCUUGGACCAUUUACAAAUAAAGUGAAUUUGUACCCACCUUGGACUUGUGAAUAACAAAAUAAACCAUUUGAAUGUCAA